GAUGAACGCUGGCGGCGUGCUUAACACAUGCAAGUCGAACGGAAAGGCCGCUGCUUGCAGGGGUACUCGAGUGGCGAACGGGUGAGUAACACGUGGGUGAUCUGCCCUGCACUUCGGGAUAAGCCUGGGAAACUGGGUCUAAUACCGGAUAGGACAAUGGUUUGGAUGCUGUUGUGGAAAGUUUUUCGGUGUGGGAUGAGCUCGCGGCCUAUCAGCUUGCUGGUGGGGUAAUGGCCUACCAAGGCGUCGACGGGUAGCCGGCCUGAGAGGGUGUACGGCCACAUUGGGACUGAGAUACGGCCCAGACUCCUACGGGAGGCAGCAGUGGGGAAUAUUGCACAAUGGGCGCAAGCCUGAUGCAGCGACGCCGCGUGGGGGAUGACGGCCUUCGGGUUGUAAACUCCUUUCGCUAGGGACGAAGCGUUUUUGUGACGGUACCUGGAGAAGAAGCACCGGCUAACUACGUG
rnacentral:rRNA from 1 species